rnacentral:tRNA from 1 species
GCAGGCGUAGUUUAAUGGCAGAACUUCAGCCUUCCAAGCUGAUCGUGAGGGUUCGAUUCCCUUCGCCUGCUCCA